AAGUCGUAACAAGGUUUCCGUAGGUGAACCUGCGGAAGGAUCAUUACAUUCAGUAGCCUAGCUACUUGUUUACACCCUUGUUUUUUUUGCGCACUUCAUUGUAUCCCUCGGCGGGCUUGCUCGCCGGUUGGACAACAUUUAUAACCUUUUUUAAUCUUCAAUCAGCGUCUGAAUUAUAUUUAAUAAUUACAACUUUCAACAACGGAUCUCUUGGUUCUG
rnacentral:misc_RNA from 1 species